GGUUCUGUAUUCAAUAAUGAUUUUAAAUUGCAAAUUUGAAGGUGAAUAUACAUUAAAUUCUGGAACUU
rnacentral:tRNA from 1 species